rnacentral:sRNA from 1 species
UUCCAGAUAUAAAUCAGUUAGCGCAAGGCUCAUUAGUGGGCCAUUCCCCUAAGCCCGACACAGGAAUCGUUUCGGGCUCUUUUU